UCUAUGUUGAAAGAAUGCAUAUCUGUAUGAGACGUAAAUUCUGAAGUUGCAUUUGUUAAGAUGCUCUCUUCUUGAGUCUCAGGUGUAUAAACUUUUUCACUUUGUUCACAAUACUGUUGAAUAAUUUCCAACUCUUGAUGAUACUGUUGAAUAAUUUCCAACUUAUUGCCUUCAAAAACUUGGCUUGUGUCUUGUAUAACUUCUUCAACAUCAGAUUGUCCUUCAAGCAUGCUUACAACUGAUGACAUGGUUGGUCUAUGCAUCGGAGAAACACGAGUGCAUAAAAGAGCUACAUUGAUCAUGAUCAUCGCUUCCUCUUUGUUGAAAUCUUCACCUAGCCUCUCAUCAAUUAGGUCCAUUAUGUUACCUUCUUCCUUUAAGAAAUGCACCUGAUAAAGAUGAAAUACAAACAAACUUCAAGAUAUUGUGAUGAAGACUCAAAUUGGAUAGAAGGUAUAAAGUUAUGGAUGUGUUAGUUACCCAAUCAACAAGAGAGAAGCAUUCAUCCCUUGGCUUAUUCAUGGUGUUAUGCUUCCCACUAACAAUUUCCAAGGCAACGACUCCAAAACUAUAAACAUCCACUUUCUCCGUCAAAUAUCCGUGCAUUGCAUAUUCUGGAGCCAUAUAUCCACUGCAACAUCAAAAUUUAUAUAUUAACUCAAGUGGAUUAAACUAAAUUUUAAGAGGUUUUAUUCUUUUCU
rnacentral:lncRNA from 1 species